rnacentral:rRNA from 1 species
UACGGAGGUUGCGAGCGUUGUUCGGAAUAACUGGGCGUAAAGGGAGCGCAGGCGGUUUGGUCAGUCUAAAGUGGAAUCCCGGGGCUCAACCUCGGAAGUGCUUUGGAUACUGCCAAACUUGAGUACGUGAGAGGCAGGCGGAAUUCCUGGUGUAGCGGUGAAAUGCGUAGAUAUCAGGAGGAACACCGGUGGCGAAAGCGGCCUGCUGGCACGAAACUGACGCUGAGGCUCGAAAGCGUGGGGAGCGAACGGG